UGAACUGGGAGUGCGAGACAAAUCCCAGUGGGAAAGUUCCAGAAAUGGAACUAUCGCAUUUCCCGACC
rnacentral:sRNA from 12 species